rnacentral:tRNA from 1 species
GACAUAUUAAAGUUUACUUUGAAUUUUUCUUUUACACUGAAAAGGUCUCUUUUGAGUAAUAUGAUAAG